rnacentral:lncRNA from 1 species
AAAUCUGACAGACUUUAUGAAGCUAUUAUACCUGCAGGACACACAACUCAAACUCAGGUGUCAGAGCAGACGGCAGUGUCCUCGGCAUGCUUUGAGUGGCAGUACACCGCUGUUUGAGGGAUGAACUGAUUCCGAAGAGUCCAUUUGGACUGUAUUUCGCAUCAUCUGCUCCUUUCAUCAAAAGAGGCUCCGUGGAUGCUCUUGAUGUCUGCUCCUGGCUCCAGAGCCCAAACUGAGCCAGCUUCCAGGGCAUGGGCAGACCUGCUUCUCUGGAGCAAUGAGAUCCAAGCCUGUUGUGGCCAUGUAGAACAGUUUUGGUCCAGUCUUUCUGUAAGUCGCCCAGAAAUAGACCCUGCAAUUCCAGUGCCAGUAACUCAUGUCAGAGGUGAUCCCUGGAGACACUGCAGGAGAGUGGGCAGGAAGACAGGGAGUGAAGGUAG